rnacentral:rRNA from 1 species
GACGUAGGGCGCGAGCGUUUGUCCGGAUUUAUUGGGCGUAAAGAGCUCGUAGGCGGCUCGUUGCGUCGGCUGUGAAAACCCGCAGCUCAACUGUGGGCUUGCAGCUGAUACGGGCGGGCUGGGAUUCGGUAGGGGAGACUGGAAUUCCUGGUGUAGCGGUGAAAUGCGCAGAUAUCAGGAGGAACACCGGUGGUGUAGACGGCUCUCUGGACCGUAACUGACGCUGAGGCACGAAAGCGUGGGUAGCAAACAGG